rnacentral:rRNA from 1 species
GUUUGAUCAUGGCUCAGAACGAACGCUGGCGGCAUGCCUAACACAUGCAAGUCGAACGCCUCUAGCAAUAGAGGAGUGGCGCACGGGUGAGUAACGCGUGGGAACCUGCCCUGGAGUGUGGGAUAACCCGGCGAAAGCCGGGCUAAUACCGCAUACGACCUGAGGGUGAAAGAUUUAUCGCUCUAGGAGGGGCCCGCGUCGGAUUAGCUAGUUGGUGAGGUAACGGCUCACCAAGGCGAUGAUCCGUAGCUGGUCUGAGAGGAUGAUCAGCCACACUGGGACUGAGACACGGCCCAGACUCCUACGGGAGGCAGCAGUGGGGAAUAUUGGACAAUGGGGGCAACCCUGAUCCAGCAAUGCCGCGUGGGCGAUGAAGGCCUUCGGGUUGUAAAGCCCUUUUGCACGCGACGAUGAUGACGGUAGCGUGAGAAGAAGCCCCGGCUAACUCCGUGCCAGCAGCCGCGGUAAUAGCUG